ensembl:lncRNA
CAUAAUUUGCUGUUUGGAAUGACAGCGGGAGGGGCUAGUCUAAGCUAGGCUACUAGCUGUGUGCUAGGGUUAACUUCAGCUAAUUCAAACUGAGUCAGUAAACUGGACAUUUUGACUGUUUUUGUGGCUUUUGAAGCAAUUUUAAUAAAAUUAGUAAAGAAAGUACAUGCUGUAACAAACUGUCCAUAACAUCUGGUAUUUUAUUUCUAUGUUACUGCGCUCUUAUAGGUGAGGAGCGGUAUCCCUACAAUGAAUUAUACAUCCAGUGAAUAGAUUCACCAUGCUAACAGUCACUUCUGCUUCCAGAAAGAAAUAAAAACAGACGGUGAGUUCAAUAACACUUGAAUUAAGGCUUCAAAACAGGAGUAUAAAACAGUAGUCACUGUCUUGCUAAUAAACCUUAGGCUUAUGAGCCCUACACAUGUGACCCUGACCUUGAGCACUAUCUGGUUGAUUGAUUAGGGGAUCACUGUGUGCACAUUUCACUGAAAUCUAACUAAUACUUUCGGAGGAGUAGCGAUUCUUUUGAAUUGUGGAUGGAUGCUUCACCGUGGCAGAAGCUUAUUGGACCUUUGGCUGGAUGUGCUAAAAAUGGAAGUUUCUGGCAUGGCAACAGCUUACAAGCUCUCUGAAAAAGUAUUUAUACAUGUCAAUUUGAGGUAAUUAAACUAAUAGGAUACAACAUGUUAUUAGUGAGCCUUAGAGGCACUGAUAUGUGGAUUUUAUUAUUCCAAGAUAGAGCCAGGUUAGCCACUUCCCCUUGUUAUCUUCAAUCUUUAUGCUCAGCUAAGCUGACUGCAAACUUUUUUUUUAAUCUACAGACCCUCUGCAAAGUGUCUUUUAGACUGCAGUGGCACUGUUAUGAGUUAUGAGAUAAUUAUGUGGGACUGUGUAUUAAAAACAAUUCACGAGCCCGCUGUGGUCAUUGACACCUGCACAAUACAGUGAUAAACCCCUCUUGCCAUUCCUCAAAUGUGACUAUCUAAUGUGGCAGGGAAGGCUUGUAACAGUAAUCAUAAAAAAAUUAACUGCUCAUACCAGAAACAGAGGCCUCUCUCUGAAAGUCCAUUAUGUUCCUGUCCUGAACAGAAAAACUGUCACGGCCAAUUGAGCCAGACCCAAUGAAACGCCACGGCAGCAACAAGCGGACAUUAAAUACGAUUUACACAUAAUUAAUGGAUAGUUGACUUCUGGGUCAUCUGUUAUGAGGAGGGGAGGAGUGAUGAAGCUUGUGGAGGUAAAUGAUUUCAAGGAAAAUUACUUGUGGUUAGAUUAACUGUGGUGUUAAUACAAGAAAACGAUUCUGUAUUUUAACUGUGCGAUCCUGCCGUUGCUUUCUUUUAUUGGUCGGGGAUCAAAGUGCAUAUUUAAGCUUCCUCUGUGUCUAGCUUUGUGUUAUACAGUCAGCUAAACACCUCGGACUCUGCUCUCGUAUCGGAAAUGGUGACUUGGAUGUUCAGUUUUCAAACCAAUUGAUUAAUUACUCGCAGGUGAAUCUGUCUUUCCAACAGAAGAUAGAUGGAGAAUCAGUAUUAGUCCUUUAAGGCACAUCCAGCUCAAAAUGUGAGACCCAUUUGGAACUGCCAGGCAGAAAGAAAUGACGGCAAAACGGCAAAUCAGUAUGAUGAUGUCGUUUCUGCAGCUGAGAAAAAAAAGACCUUUGCAAAUUUUCCAAGUACAUACGAUGUACUCAGCAAAUCAUGCCUUUCACAUACACUUCACGGCAAUCAAAGGUGAGAAAAGUAAAAAAACCCAAAACAAAUAAACAUGAAGAAUUGAUAGCAAAGAAGAGUCCAAAUUACAGGAACCCCCCCUCACCCUCACCCCCCACGAAAAAAAAGAUCUGUAUCGACAUCGGGUCUAUCAGACUCCUGUAAAUUGGUAAGCUAAGAAAGAAUUAACAUCAUACAAAUAUGUAACAUGAACUAUUCAAAUAAAUAAACUUUAAAAACAAUCCAAACCGAUCAUCAUUAAACACUGGAAUAAUAUUCAAUAAUAUUAUUAACAUUAUCAAUACAGUUAUUGUUAGUGUACCCUGUUACUUCUGCAGAAGUGUUGAUUUCUCAUUCAUGAUUGUAUUUCCGUUGCUAAACAAAACGUUUGUUUUGGUGUUGAGGAGCUGCAGGAGGGAGGGAAAGACAAAGAGCAUGUGACGAGAGCAGAGGCUGGAAAUUUGAUUUCACCCCCCCUUCCCUACUACUUCCCUCCCAUUCCUCCCUCCCUCCCUUUAGAUCUUUCACUG